rnacentral:snRNA from 1 species
UGCCAAAUAACAACCAUUG